rnacentral:rRNA from 1 species
GACGAACGCUGGCGGCGUGCUUAACACAUGCAAGUCGAACGGUGAAGCUCCAGUUUGCUGGAGUGGAUGAGUGGCGAACGGGUGAGUAACACGUGAGCAACCUGCCCCUUACUUUGGAAUAAGGCCUGGAAACGGCUUCUAAUACUGGAUAUUAGAAGGGUCUCCAUUGGGAGUUUCUGGAAAGGGUUUCGGUUGGGGAUGGGCUCGCGGCCUCCCAGCUUGUUGUUGAGGUAAUGGUUCACUACGGCGACGACGGGUAGCCGGCCUGAGAAGGCGACCGGCCACACAGGGACUGAGACACGGCCCAGACUACUACGGGAGGCAGCAGUGGAGAAUAUUGAACAAUGGGCGAGAGACGGAUGCAGAGAGACCGCGUGAGGGAUGACGGCCUUCGGGUUGUAAACCUCUUACAGCAGGGAAAAAGCGAAAGUGAGAGUACCGGGAGAAGAAGCGCCGGCUAACUACGUG